rnacentral:tRNA from 2 species
GUCCCUAUCGUCUAGAGGCCUAGGACACCGGGUUUUCAUCCCGGCAACCAGGGUUCGAAUCCCUGUGGGGAUGCCA